ensembl:lncRNA
AUUUGUUUGAAUUUCCUUUGCAAAUUCUAAUUUGGUUUGACUCGUGGCAAUUUUGCUUGCUGCGUUUAUUUCAGCCAUCGCACUUCAACCAUCAGAGAGUUGAGUGCCUAAUUUGGGAUAGGGAAAAUCUAUCUUUUCACUGUGUAUGGAUGAACAAUCGCGUUAUCCUUUAGAAGUUGGGGGAAUUGAGUUUUAUCCUGUAUUUAUACUUCUUUCUUUAUUUUCUCACUCUUAUCCUUGCUACAGUGAACUACGAAAUAGAAGACUGGAUAUCACAGGUGAGGUCUUCAGCUGCUGUGAAUCUAAAACCAGCUGUGUUGGCUCGAUGGUGAUUUUCAUCAGCAGAGACGUGUGCCUGCAGCUUUCCCUAGUGAACCAGGGUCCAAUUUGGAGAAAUGGAAAGCAAGAUACCUUUGGGAUCUUGGGCUACUGGAAGAUUAUGAACCCCUCCACUGGUGUGUUUAUUUCUGAUCAGCAAUGAGUCUGAAAUGAUCUCCAUAAAGAUCCAGAUCCCUGUGAGAGAGACGGAGAAACUGCAGCAUG